UAGGUAGUUUCAUGUUGUUGGGCCUGGGUCUCUGAACACAACGACAUGGAACCACCUGAC
rnacentral:pre_miRNA from 1 species